AGUGAACGCUGGCGGCGUGCUUAACAUAUGCGAGUCGAACGAGAACGGAUUAUAGCUUGCUAUAAUUGUCAGCUAAGUGGCGCACGGGUGAGUAAUGUAUAGGUAAUAUGCCUCUUACUAAGGGAUAACAAAUGGAAACGUUUGCUAAUACCUUAUACUCCUUAUUAACAUAAGUUAAUAAGGGAAAGAUUUAUUGGUAAGAGAUUAGCCUGUAUUGUAUCAGUUAGUUGGUGGGGUAAUGGCUUACCAAGACUAUGACACAUAACUGGUUUGAGAGGAUGAUCAGUCACACUGGAACUGAGACACGGUCCAGACUCCUACGGGAGGCAGCAGUGGGGAAUAUUGCACAAUGGACGAAAGUCUGAUGCAGCAACGCCGCGUGGAGGAUGACACAUUUCGGUGCGUAAACUCCUUUUAUAUGAGAAGAUAAUGACGGUAUUAUAUGAAUAAGCACCGGCUAACUCCGUGCCAGCCGCCGCGGUAA
rnacentral:rRNA from 1 species